CCUACGGGAGGCAGCAGUGGGGAAUAUUGGACAAUGGGGGAAACCCUGAUCCAGCGACGCCGCGUGAGUGAAGAAGUAUUUCGGUACGUAAAGCUCUAUCAGCAGGAAAGAAAAUGACGGUACCUGACUAAGAAGCCCCGGCUAACUACGUGCCAGCAGCCGCGGUAAUACGUAGGGGGCAAGCGUUAUCCGGAUUUACUGGGUGUAAAGGGAGCGUAGACGGCAGUGCAAGUCUGGAGUGAAAGGCGGGGGCUCAACCCCCGGACUGCUCUGGAAACUGUACGGCUGGAGUGCAGGAGAGGUAAGUGGAAUUCCUAGUGUAGCGGUGAAAUGCGUAGAUAUUAGGAGGAACACCAGUGGCGAAGGCGGCUUACUGGACUGUAACUGACGUUGAGGCUCGAAAGUGUGGGUAUCAAACAGGAUUAGAUACCCGUGUAGUC
rnacentral:rRNA from 1 species